GAGGGUUGAGGAUGCUUGGAGCUGGAGAAAUUAAUUCCACCUGCCAGGGUUGGAAAGCGUGCAGAGAGGAAGCGACUUCUGAGCUGAUAAUAGGAUUUUACAAGGUGAUAAAGAGCGUUUCAAACAGAAAAGAAAGAAGAGGAAAAACACCGCAAAGAUGUGAACAGAGGCAUUCAGAGAAGAUGUUACGGGGAGAGGAGGUGACUCGCUGGGGCUGGAGCUGGAUCUUACCUUGCACUGAAGAGUCAGAAGCUUCUGCAGAGCCCUUUGGUGCGCCUGCUACCCCACCCAGCUUCUGUGUGGAAGAGCUGACAAGCCCCAGAACACCCAGUAUAUCAAGAAGGUGUUGCAAAGAUGAUGGCCACCGUGAAGGCAGAGAAAAUAUCCAUGUUACUUUCCAAGAUAAACAAAAGACAAACAGAUUUGCAGAGAAUACAGCCCUGUGAAUCCAAGAUGUCCUGAUCCCUGGAAUUCCUUUUCGGAGACAGCCUUUGAGGGCCUCCUCCAGCUGAAAUCCUCCCUCUACUCAAAACAGAGCUCAGCCCUUCACCCGCCACUCUCCGUUCUGCCAUGUUACAAGGGGCACGGACGUGCCCACCGACGGAUGGAACACCCGCUUCGGAAGCGCAGAAUGUUUCUCCUAGAAAGCCAAGACAGAAACGCCUGCCGGUCUCCUCUGAAAUUAGCACCAUGCAUGUUGUGGAGAUCAUGUUGCUAGAUCAGGAGAUCUUCCCCCUGACGCCUUCAGAAGCUCAAUGUGAAUACUGGAACUGUCAGUGUUAAUAACACACUACAAUCCUGUUCUUUAAAAAAAAGGAAAAACCAACUUCUAAAGGCAGAUAAAGAGAAGCUAAUGGAAGUCAUCACAUGCAAUCUUCUCUAAGUAGCAGCUACAACAUCAAUAUUUAUUAAAAAAAAAAAAAAAAAAAAACCCUGUUUUGUUGUUUUCCCCUCCCCCUCAAUUAUUUGCAGGAAAACAGAGAAAUGUCUGCUACUUCUGGCUUGAUGAAGUUUGUUUUUUUGUUUUUGUUUUUGUUUUUUUUAAAAAAAAAAAAGAAAGAAAGAAAGAAAAGAAAAAACUCCAGCCUGGCGACAGAGCGAGACUCCGUCUCAAAUAAAUAAAUAAAUAAAUAAUAAAAAUAAAAAUAAAUACAGAUGAUGUUGAGGUUUUGGGGGAAUCAGAGAGAAAUACGUGGGAGGAGGAAUAGCAUCAGGAAGAAUGGCUAAUGGAUGCUGGGCUUAAUACCUAGGUGAUGAGAUGAUCUUUGCAGCAAACCACCGUAGCACACGUUUGCCUAUGUAACAAACUUGCACAUUCUGCCCAUGGACCCCUGAACUUAAAAUAAAAGUUGGAAAUUUUAAAAAAUAGGAAAAUGU
rnacentral:lncRNA from 1 species